rnacentral:rRNA from 1 species
UUAAGCGACUAAGCGUACACGGUGGAUGCCCUGGCAGUCAGAGGCGAUGAAGGACGUGCUAAUCUGCGAUAAGCGUCGGUAAGGUGAUAUGAACCGUUAUAACCGGCGAUUUCCGAAUGGGGAAACCCAGUGUGUUUCGACACACUAUCAUUAACUGAAUCCAUAGGUUAAUGAGGCGAACCGGGGGAACUGAAACAUCUAAGUACCCCGAGGAAAAGAAAUCAACCGAGAUUCCCCCAGUAGCGGCGAGCGAACGGGGAGGAGCCCAGAGCCUGAAUCAGUGUGUGUGUUAGUGGAAGCGUCUGGAAAGGCGCGCGAUACAGGGUGACAGCCCCGUACACAAAAAUGCACAUACUGUGAGCUCGAUGAGUAGGGCGGGACACGUGGUAUCCUGUCUGAAUAUGGGGGGACCAUCCUCCAAGGCUAAAUACUCCUGACUGACCGAUAGUGAACCAGUACCGUGAGGGAAAGGCGAAAAGAACCCCGGCGAGGGGAGUGAAAAAGAACCUGAAACCGUGUACGUACAAGCAGUGGGAGCACGCUUCGGCGUGUGACUGCGUACCUUUUGUAUAAUGGGUCAGCGACUUAUAUUCUGUAGCAAGGUUAACCGAAUAGGGGAGCCGAAGGGAAACCGAGUCUUAACUGGGCGUUAAGUUGCAGGGUAUAGACCCGAAACCCGGUGAUCUAGCCAUGGGCAGGUUGAAGGUUGGGUAACACUAACUGGAGGACCGAACCGACUAAUGUUGAAAAAUUAGCGGAUGACUUGUGGCUGGGGGUGAAAGGCCAAUCAAACCGGGAGAUAGCUGGUUCUCCCCGAAAGCUAUUUAGGUAGCGCCUCGUGAAUUCAUCUCCGGGGGUAGAGCACUGUUUCGGCAAGGGGGUCAUCCCGACUUACCAACCCGAUGCAAACUGCGAAUACCGGAGAAUGUUAUCACGGGAGACACACGGCGGGUGCUAACGUCCGUCGUGAAGAGGGAAACAACCCAGACCGCCAGCUAAGGUCCCAAAGUCAUGGUUAAGUGGGAAACGAUGUGGGAAGGCCCAGACAGCCAGGAUGUUGGCUUAGAAGCAGCCAUCAUUUAAAGAAAGCGUAAUAGCUCACUGGUCGAGUCGGCCUGCGCGGAAGAUGUAACGGGGCUAAACCAUGCACCGAAGCUGCGGCAGCGACACUAUGUGUUGUUGGGUAGGGGAGCGUUCUGUAAGCCUGUGAAGGUGUACUGUGAGGUAUGCUGGAGGUAUCAGAAGUGCGAAUGCUGACAUAAGUAACGAUAAAGCGGGUGAAAAGCCCGCUCGCCGGAAGACCAAGGGUUCCUGUCCAACGUUAAUCGGGGCAGGGUGAGUCGACCCCUAAGGCGAGGCCGAAAGGCGUAGUCGAUGGGAAACAGGUUAAUAUUCCUGUACUUGGUGUUACUGCGAAGGGGGGACGGAGAAGGCUAUGUUGGCCGGGCGACGGUUGUCCCGGUUUAAGCGUGUAGGCUGGUUUUCCAGGCAAAUCCGGAAAAUCAAGGCUGAGGCGUGAUGACGAGGCACUACGGUGCUGAAGCAACAAAUGCCCUGCUUCCAGGAAAAGCCUCUAAGCAUCAGGUAACAUCAAAUCGUACCCCAAACCGACACAGGUGGUCAGGUAGAGAAUACCAAGGCGCUUGAGAGAACUCGGUGAAGGAACUAGGCAAAAUGGUGCCGUAACUUCGGGAGAAGGCACGCUGAUAUGUAGGUGAAGUCCCUUGCGGAUGGAGCUGAAAUCAGUCGAAGAUACCAGCUGGCUGCAACUGUUUAUUAAAAACACAGCACUGUGCAAACACGAAAGUGGACGUAUACGGUGUGACGCCUGCCCGGUGCCGGAAGGUUAAUUGAUGGGGUUAGCGGUAACGCGAAGCUCUUGAUCGAAGCCCCGGUAAACGGCGGCCGUAACUAUAACGGUCCUAAGGUAGCGAAAUUCCUUGUCGGGUAAGUUCCGACCUGCACGAAUGGCGUAAUGAUGGCCAGGCUGUCUCCACCCGAGACUCAGUGAAAUUGAACUCGCUGUGAAGAUGCAGUGUACCCGCGGCAAGACGGAAAGACCCCGUGAACCUUUACUAUAGCUUGACACUGAACAUUGAGCCUUGAUGUGUAGGAUAGGUGGGAGGCUUUGAAGUGUGGACGCCAGUCUGCAUGGAGCCGACCUUGAAAUACCACCCUUUAAUGUUUGAUGUUCUAACGUUGGCCCCUGAUCGGGGUUGCGGACAGUGUCUGGUGGGUAGUUUGACUGGGGCGGUCUCCUCCUAAAGAGUAACGGAGGAGCACGAAGGUUGGCUAAUCCUGGUCGGACAUCAGGAGGUUAGUGCAAUGGCAUAAGCCAGCUUGACUGCGAGCGUGACGGCGCGAGCAGGUGCGAAAGCAGGUCAUAGUGAUCCGGUGGUUCUGAAUGGAAGGGCCAUCGCUCAACGGAUAAAAGGUACUCCGGGGAUAACAGGCUGAUACCGCCCAAGAGUUCAUAUCGACGGCGGUGUUUGGCACCUCGAUGUCGGCUCAUCACAUCCUGGGCUGAAGUAGGUCCCAAGGGUAUGGCUGUUCGCCAUUUAAAGUGGUACGCGAGCUGGGUUUAGAACGUCGUGAGACAGUUCGGUCCCUAUCUGCCGUGGGCGCUGGAGAACUGAGGGGGGCUGCUCCUAGUACGAGAGGACCGGAGUGGACGCAUCACUGGUGUUCGGGUUGUCAUGCCAAUGGCACUGCCCGGUAGCUAAAUGCGGAAGAGAUAAGUGCUGAAAGCAUCUAAGCACGAAACUUGCCCCGAGAUGAGUUCUCCCUGACCCUUUAAGGGUCCUGAAGGAACGUUGAAGACGACGACGUUGAUAGGCCGGGUGUGUAAGCGCAGCGAUGCGUUGAGCUAACCGGUACUAAUGAACCGUGAGGCUUAACCUU